rnacentral:lncRNA from 1 species
UUUUAUGAAGCAGCACAAAACCAAUAAAAAGUUUUGUGCAGAACAAGUCAAUAACUACUGUCCACUACUCCCAAAAGGUGAGUGUACAGAUGUCUACAUAAAGUGCUAAAUGUUUUAGUUGUGCAAACA